UCCCCGCUUCUCCUCCCUGAGCGGGUGCCUGUGGUGAUUCGUAAAGGAUCCGAUCAGGCUGUUUGACCCGCCGUCAUGCGGCGGGUUUUUUUAU
rnacentral:ncRNA from 1 species